rnacentral:miRNA from 1 species
CAAGCCCAGACCGCAAAAAGAUU